GCUCACUCUGGCGCAGAACGCGGAGUAAUACAGAGGGGGCAAGUGUUAAUCGGAGUUACUGGGCGUAAAGCGUGAGUGGGUGGCUCGCUAAGUCGAGUGGGAAAGCCCUGGGCUCAACCUGGGAAUUGCAGUCGAUACUGGUGAGCUAGAGUUCGGUAGAGGGUGGCGGAAUUCCCGGUGUAGCGGUGAAAUGCGUAGAUAUCGGGAGGAACAUCGAUGGCGAAGGCAAUCACCUGGGCCUGAACUGACACUGAGACACGAAAGCGUGGGUAGCAAACAGGAUUAGAUACCCCGGUAGUC
rnacentral:rRNA from 1 species